rnacentral:rRNA from 1 species
UACAGAGGGUGCAAGCGUUGUUCGGAAUUAUUGGGCGUAAAGGGCGCGUAGGCGGUGCGGUAAGUCUGUAGUGAAAUCUCUGGGCUCAACUCAGAGUCUGCUGCAGAAACUGCCGGGCUUGAGUAUGGGAGAGGUGAGUGGAAUUCCUGGUGUAGCGGUGAAAUGCGUAGAUAUCAGGAGGAACACCUGUGGCGAAAGCGGCUCACUGGACCAUAACUGACGCUGAUGCACGAAAGCGUGGGGAGCAAACAGG